UACAGAGGGGGCAAGCGUCAUUCGGAAUUAUUGGGCGUAAAGGGCGCGCAGGCGGCCUUGCAAGUGACGGGUGAAAUCCCCCGGCUUAACCGGGGAACCGCCUGUCAGACUGCGAGGCUUGAGACCGGGAGAGGUGAGUGGAAUUCCCAGUGUAGCGGUGAAAUGCGUAGAUAUUGGGAGGAACACCAGUGGCGAAGGCGGCUCACUGGACCGGUACUGACGCUGAGGCGCGAAAGCGUGGGGAGCAAACAGG
rnacentral:rRNA from 1 species